rnacentral:rRNA from 1 species
AACGAACGCUGGCGGCAUGCCUAACACAUGCAAGUCGAACGAGACCUUCGGGUCUAGUGGCGCACGGGUGCGUAACGCGUGGGAACCUGACCUUAGGUUCGGAAUAACUCCCCGAAAGGGGUGCUAAUACCGGAUAAUGUCCUCGGACCAAAGAUUUAUCGCCUUUGGAUGGGCCCGCGUUGGAUUAGCUAGUUGGUAGGGUAAAAGCCUACCAAGGCGACGAUCCAUAGCUGGUCUGAGAGGAUGAUCAGCCACACUGGGACUGAGACACGGCCCAGACUCCUACGGGAGGCAGCAGUGGGGAAUAUUGGACAAUGGGCGAAAGCCUGAUCCAGCAAUGCCGCGUGAGUGAUGAGGGCCUUAGGGUAGUAAAGCUCUUUUACCCGGGAUGAUAAUGACAGUACCGGGAGAAUAAGCUCCGGCUAACUCCGUG